GACGAACGCUGGCGGCGUGCUUAACACAUGCAAGUCGAACGGAAAGGCCCUGCUUUUGUGGGGUGCUCGAGUGGCGAACGGGUGAGUAACACGUGAGUAACCUGCCCUUGACUUUGGGAUAACUUCAGGAAACUGGGGCUAAUACCGGAUAGGAGCUCCUGCUGCAUGGUGGGGGUUGGAAAGUUUCGGCGGUUGGGGAUGGACUCGCGGCUUAUCAGCUUGUUGGUGGGGUAGUGGCUUACCAAGGCUUUGACGGGUAGCCGGCCUGAGAGGGUGACCGGCCACAUUGGGACGGAGAGACGGCCCAGACUCCUACGGGAGGCAGCAGUGGGGAAUAUUGCACAAUGGGCGGAAGCCUGAUGCAGCAACGCCGCGUGCGGGAUGACGGCCUUCGGGUUGUAAACCGCUUUCGCCUGUGACGAAGCGGGAGUGACGGUAAUGGGUAAAGAAGCACCGGCUAACUACGUG
rnacentral:rRNA from 1 species